rnacentral:rRNA from 1 species
AUUGAACGCUGGCGGAAUGCUUUACACAUGCAAGUCGAACGGCAGCACGGACUUCGGUCUGGUGGCGAGUGACGAACGGGUGAGUAAUGUAUCGGAACGUGCCCAGUCGUGGGGGAUAACGUAGUGAAAAUUACGCUAAUACCGCAUACGAUCUAUGGAUGAAAGCGGGGGAUCGCAAGACCUCGCGCGAUUGGAGCGGCCGAUAUCAGAUUAGGUAGUUGGUGGGGUAAAGGCCCACCAAGCCGACGAUCUGUAGCUGGUCUGAGAGGACGACCAGCCACACUGGAACUGAGACACGGUCCAGACUCCUACGGGAGGCAGCAGUGGGGAGUUUUGGACAAUGGGCGAAAGCCUGAUCCAGCCAUUCCGCGUGCAGGAUGAAGGCCCUCGGGUUGUAAACUGCUUUUGUACGGAACGAAAAGGUUUCUACUAAUACUAGGAGCUCAUGACGGUACUGUAAGAAUAAGCACCGGCUAACUACGUGCCAGCAGCCGCAGUAA